GUGGGGAAUAUUGCGCAAUGGGCGGAAGCCUGACGCAGCGACGCCGCGUGGGGGAUGACGGCCUUCGGGUUGUAAACCUCUUUCGACCGGGACGAAGCGUGAGUGACGGUACCGGUAGAAGAAGCACCGGCCAACUACGUGCCAGCAGCCGCGGUAAUACGUAGGGUGCGAGCGUUGUCCGGAAUUAUUGGGCGUAAAGAGCUCGUAGGCGGUGUGUCGCGUCGGUCGUGAAAACUUGGGGCUUAACCCUGAGCUUGCGGUCGAUACGGGCAUCACUGGAGUUCGGCAGGGGAGACUGGAAUUCCUGGUGUAGCGGUGAAAUGCGCAGAUAUCAGGAGGAACACCGGUGGCGAAGGCGGGUCUCUGGGCCGAUACUGACGCUGAGGAGCGAAAGCGUGGGGAGCGAACAGGAUUAGAAACCCGAGUAGUCC
rnacentral:rRNA from 1 species